CCUACGGGCGGCUGCAGUGGGGAAUAUUGCACAAUGGGCGCAAGCCUGAUGCAGCCAUGCCGCGUGUGUGAAGAAGGCCUUCGGGUUGUAAAGCACUUUCAGCGGGGAGGAAGGCGGUGAGGUUAAUGACCUCAUCGAUUGACGUUACCCGCAGAAGAAGCACCGGCUAACUCCGUGCCAGCAGCCGCGGUAAUACGGAGGGUGCAAGCGUUAAUCGGAAUUACUGGGCGUAAAGCGCACGCAGGCGGUCUGUCAAGUCGGAUGUGAAAUCCCCGGGCUCAACCUGGGAACUGCAUUCGAAACUGGCAGGCUAGAGUCUUGUAGAGGGGGGUAGAAUUCCAGGUGUAGCGGUGAAAUGCGUAGAGAUCUGGAGGAAUACCGGUGGCGAAGGCGGCCCCCUGGACAAAGACUGACGCUCAGGUGCGAAAGCGUGGGGAGCAAACAGGAUUAGAUACCCUAGUAGUC
rnacentral:rRNA from 1 species